rnacentral:lncRNA from 1 species
AGAGAUAAGAUAGUGAGUUUUGUCAAAUUUCCUAUGCUAUUUGGGAUGGAACCAGUUAGUGUGUUGUAACUAAGCUCCAAAUUCUCUAAGUUCUCAAGGUAACCUAGUUCUCGAGGGAUGUGUCCAGAAAGUUGGUUGUUGUAAAGGGACAAGGUUGUAAGUUUGGUUAAAUUUCUUAUACUAUUUGGGAUGGAACCCGAGAGUAUAUUUUCACUAAGACUCAGGUACUAUAAGUUUGAAAGGCAAACUAACUUUCGUGGAAUUAACCCAGAAAGUUGGUUGUUGCUAAGGGAUAAGGUUGUGAGUUUGGUCAAAUUUCCUAUGCUAUUUGGGAUGGAACCUGAGAGUGUGUUUUCACUAAGACUCGGGUACUGUAAGUUCGAAAGGUAAUCUAUUUUUUGUGGAAUUAACCCAGAAAGUUUGUUUCGCCGUAGAAUUAACACGGUGAGCUUGGUCAAAUUAUGUAAAUUUCAUGGGACGGAACCUGAGAGUGCGUUGAUGCCAAGUUUUAGGUCCUUUAAGUUUAGAAGAUAACCUAGUUCUCGUGGAAUUUGUCCAGAAAGUUUGUUACAGUAUAGGUACAAGCUAGUGAGUUCGGUCAAACCACCUAUCUUGAUAUUUUGCCAAAAGGAUUAUUACUGGACAAAUCUAAUGCAACUAAGUGCUUGAUGUGUCCUAUUUGACAAGGGAUAUGACCAACCAAGUGAUUGCUUGACAAGUUGAGGGUGACAAGACUACUCAUGUUGCCUAUCUGGCUUGGUAUUUCAUCGGAGAGUUCAUUUUCGUGAAGCAUUAA